GCUAGCGACGUGCCUAAGGUAUGCAAGUCGAAUGCCGAUUUAUCGGCAUGGCAGACGGCUGAGUAAUACAUGGGAAUCUACCUCAAACUCGAGAAUAGCCCAUCGAAAGGUGGUGUAAUACUCGAUAGUUCCGUUUACGGUAAAGCUCCGGCGGUUUGAGAUGAGCCCAUGUCCUAUCAGGUUGUUGGUGGGGUAAUUGCCUACCAAGCCUAUGACGGGUAGCUGGUUUGAGAGGAUGAUCAGCCAGACUGGGACUGCGAUACGGCCCAGACUCCUACGGGAGGCAGCAACUAGGAAUCAUGCGCAAUGGACGAAAGUCUGACGCUGCGACGUCGCGUGAGGGAUGAAGGUCUUCGGAUCGUAAACCUCUUUUAUCUGGGAACAAGUUCUGAGUGUACCAGAUGAAUAAGUGCCUGCCAACCACGUGCCAGAAGCAUCGGUAAUGCGUGGGGCACGAGCGUUAUCCGGAUUUACUGGGCGUAAAGAGAUGCGUAGGCGCCUUUUUAAGUCACUUGUAAAAUCUCCCCGCUCAACGGGGAAACUGCAAGUGAUACUGAAUUGGUUGAGUCAAGUAGAGGAGAGGGGAAUUCCUGGUGGAGCGGUUAAAUGCGUUGAUAUCAGGAGGAAUACCAAGUGCGAAGGCACCUCUCUGGACUUGUACUGACGCUAAGGCUCGAAAGUGUGGGGAGCAAAACGGAUUAGAUACCCGUGUAGUCCACACUGUAAACGAUCCCUGCUAGAUGUUUGCUCUGUUU
rnacentral:rRNA from 1 species